GUUGUAUGGUUAAGUGACUAAGCGUACACGGUGGAUGCCUUGGCAGUCAGAGGCGAUGAAAGACGUAGUAACUUGCGAUAAGCCCAGAUUAGGUAGUAACAACCAUUUGAGUCUGGGAUUUCUGAAUGGGGAAACCCACGUGCAUAAGCACGUAUCCUUACCUGAAUACAUAGGGUAAGGAGGCGAACCGGGGGAACUGAAACAUCUAAGUACCCCGAGGAAAAGAAAUCAACCGAGAUUCCGAAAGUAGCGGCGAGCGAAAUUGGACUAGCCCUUAAGCUUUACACGCGUUAGACGAACGGUCUGGAAAGUCCGACGAUACAGGGUGAUAGUCCCGUAGUCGACGACGUGUGUUCAGUGAAAUCGAGUAGGGCGGGACACGUGAUAUCCUGUCUGAAUAUGGGGGGACCAUCCUCCAAGGCUAAAUACUACUGACUGACCGAUAGUGAACCAGUACCGUGAGGGAAAGGCGAAAAGAACCCCUGUGAGGGGAGUGAAAUAGAACCUGAAACCGUGUACGUACAAGCAGUAGGAGCAGGCUUGUCCUGUGACUGCGUACCUUUUGUAUAAUGGGUCAGCGACUUAUAUUCAGUGGCAAGGUUAACCAUCUAGGGGAGCCGUAGGGAAACCGAGUCUUAACUGGGCGUUCAGUCUCUGGAUAUAGACCCGAAACCAGGUGAUCUAGCCAUGGGCAGGUUGAAGGUUGAGUAACAUCAACUGGAGGACCGAACCGACUAAUGUUGAAAAAUUAGCGGAUGACUUGUGGCUAGGGGUGAAAGGCCAAUCAAACCUGGAGAUAGCUGGUUCUCCCCGAAAGCUAUUUAGGUAGCGCCUCGGACGAAUACUACUGGGGGUAGAGCACUGUUAAGGCUAGGGGGUCAUCCCGACUUACCAACCCUUUGCAAACUCCGAAUACCAGUAAGUACUAUCCGGGAGACACACGGCGGGUGCUAACGUCCGUCGUGGAGAGGGAAACAACCCAGACCGCCAGCUAAGGUCCCAAAUUACUACUAAGUGGGAAACGAUGUGGGAAGGCUCAGACAGCCAGGAUGUUGGCUUAGAAGCAGCCAUCAUUUAAAGAAAGCGUAAUAGCUCACUGGUCGAGUCGGCCUGCGCGGAAGAUGUAACGGGGCUAAGUAGUAAACCGAAGCUGCGGCAAUGUGCUUUUGCACAUUGGGUAGGGGAGCGUUCUGUAAGCGGUUGAAGGUGUGUGGUAACGCAUGCUGGACGUAUCAGAAGUGCGAAUGCUGACAUGAGUAACGAUAAAGGGGGUGAAAAACCUCCUCGCCGGAAGACCAAGGGUUCCUGUCCAACGUUAAUCGGGGCAGGGUAAGUCGACCCCUAAGGCGAGGCCGAAAGGCGUAGUCGAUGGGAAACGGGUUAAUAUUCCCGUACUUCUUACAAUUGCGAUGGGGGGACGGAGAAGGCUAGGUGGGCCUGGCGACGGUUGUCCAGGUUCAAGUGCGUAGGCUUAAGAGUUAGGUAAAUCCGGCUCUUUCUAAGGCUGAGACACGACGUCGAGCACCUACGGGUGUGAAGUCAUUGAUGCCAUGCUUCCAGGAAAAGCCUCUAAGCUUCAGAUUGUAAGGAAUCGUACCCCAAACCGACACAGGUGGUCGGGUAGAGAAUACCAAGGCGCUUGAGAGAACUCGGGUGAAGGAACUAGGCAAAAUGGUACCGUAACUUCGGGAGAAGGUACGCUCUUGAUGGUGAAGUCCCUUGCGGAUGGAGCUGACGAGAGUCGCAGAUACCAGGUGGCUGCAACUGUUUAUUAAAAACACAGCACUGUGCAAAAUCGUAAGAUGACGUAUACGGUGUGACGCCUGCCCGGUGCCGGAAGGUUAAUUGAUGGGGUUAGACUUCGGUCGAAGCUCUUGAUCGAAGCCCCGGUAAACGGCGGCCGUAACUAUAACGGUCCUAAGGUAGCGAAAUUCCUUGUCGGGUAAGUUCCGACCUGCACGAAUGGCGUAAUGAUGGCCACGCUGUCUCCACCCGAGACUCAGUGAAAUUGAAAUCGCUGUGAAGAUGCAGUGUACCCGCGGCUAGACGGAAAGACCCCGUGAACCUUUACUACAGCUUGGCACUGAACAUUGACCCUACAUGUGUAGGAUAGGUGGGAGGCUUUGAAGCACGUACGCCAGUAUGUGUGGAGCCGUCCUUGAAAUACCACCCUUGUAGUGUUGAUGUUCUAACGUCGACCCCUAAUCGGGGUUGCGGACAGUGCCUGGUGGGUAGUUUGACUGGGGCGGUCUCCUCCCAAAGAGUAACGGAGGAGCACGAAGGUGGGCUAAUCACGGUUGGACAUCGUGAGGUUAGUGCAAUGGCAUAAGCCCGCUUGACUGCGAGAAUGACAAUUCGAGCAGGUGCGAAAGCAGGUCAUAGUGAUCCGGUGGUUCUGAAUGGAAGGGCCAUCGCUCAACGGAUAAAAGGUACUCCGGGGAUAACAGGCUGAUACCGCCCAAGAGUUCAUAUCGACGGCGGUGUUUGGCACCUCGAUGUCGGCUCAUCACAUCCUGGGGCUGAAGUCGGUCCCAAGGGUAUGGCUGUUCGCCAUUUAAAGUGGUACGCGAGCUGGGUUUAGAACGUCGUGAGACAGUUCGGUCCCUAUCUGCCGUGGGCGUUGGAAGAUUGAAGGGGGCUGCUCCUAGUACGAGAGGACCGGAGUGGACGAACCUCUGGUGUUCGGGUUGUGUCGCCAGACGCAUUGCCCGGUAGCUAAGUUCGGAAUCGAUAACCGCUGAAAGCAUCUAAGCGGGAAGCGAGCCCUGAGAUGAGUCUUCCCUGAUACUUUAAGUAUCCUAAAGGGUUGUCGGAGACUACGACGUUGAUAGGUCAGGUGUGUAAGUGCUGUGAGGCAUUGAGCUAACUGAUACUAAUUGCCCGUGAGGCUUAACCAUACAACACCCAAGGGGUUU
rnacentral:rRNA from 1 species